GAUGAACGCUGGCGGCGUGCCUAAUACAUGCAAGUCGAGCGAACGGACGAGAAGCUUGCUUCUCUGAUGUUAGCGGCGGACGGGUGAGUAACACGUGGAUAACCUACCUAUAAGACUGGGAUAACUUCGGGAAACCGGAGCUAAUACCGGAUGAUAUUUUGAACCGCAUGGUUCAAAAGUGAAAGACGGUCUUGCUGUCACUUAUAGAUGGAUCCGCGCUGCAUUAGCUAGUUGGUAAGGUAACGGCUUACCAAGGCAACGAUGCAUAGCCGACCUGAGAGGGUGAUCGGCCACACUGGAACUGAGACACGGUCCAGACUCCUACGGGAGGCAGCAGUGGGGAAUCUUCCGCAAAGGGCGAAAGCCUGACGGAGCAACGCCGCGUGAGUGAUGAAGGUCUUCGGAUCGUAAAACUCUGUUAUUAGGGAAGAACAUAUGUGUAAGUAACUGUGCACAUCUUGACGGUACCUAAUCGGAAAGCCACGGCUAACUACGUG
rnacentral:rRNA from 1 species